UGCUCCGGAAGUGAAGAGGCCAGACCACCGGCUAAUGGAUGCCGAGCCGAGGGCCUGCUGACCGCUCUCCGCGCGGGGAUAUUAGGUGUGGAGGAAAGUCCCUCUCACAUCUUACAAGAGGAAGCUGUGGUACAAAGAACUCACUGAGGUUGAGAUCUCUGGGACUACUGGAGGAGGGCAUGACUCAGCAUGUUACCCUCCUGACCCUCUGGAGCAUGACAUGCCUUCAGCAGCUUCCAGAAGGAUGGGGGAAAGUGCCCACAGUGGGAGCAGCUGCUGCUACAUGCAGACUGGCUGGCACAUGGGCUCCAUUCAGACUGGUGGAGAUUUGCAGGCAUAAUGAAGAAUGUUCAUAAGUUUCUAACACACGCUCAACAGUAUCUGGGACACAUUAGGGAUCUUCUCCACAGGCUUACCACAGAUGUGUUUCCUCUCUCUUUCUUCUUCCCCCAAAUGAUCCAUUCAAGCUCAAAGGCUAGGAAAAAAGUGUCAUAUUAGUAGCUUACUAUUCAGUAGCGACAGAAAUAUCUAGCUGUGGUCUGGGAAGUAAUGCCAUGGAUCAAGUGUCAGACCUUCAAGUAUGAGGUCCUGAGUUCAAGCCUCAACAUUCUCAUGUGCCAGAGUGAAGCUCUGGUUAUCUGUCAGUCUAUCUCACUAAUAAAUAAUUUUUAACUUUUUUUGUUUUUAGGGACCAGGUUAUCACUGAGGCUCAGUAUGUGCAUGACAAACCCAAUGCUUCUCGUGGCUCUUAUUUCAUUCCUUAAUUUUUUUUUUAAUGGAAACAUGGAAAUUGAGAGGGAAGGGUGGAGAAAGAAGGGUGGAAGUACAUAGCAUAAUGGUUACGCAAAGAGACUCUCAUGUCUGAGACUCCAAGGUCCCAGGUUCAACCCCCAGCACCACCAUAUAAGCCAGAGCUGAACAGUGCUCUGGUAAAAUAAAAAAAAAUAAUAAUAAUAGGGAGUAGAGCCGUAGUGCAGCGAGUUAAGUGCACAUGGCACGAAGCGCAAGGACCUGUGUAAGGAUCCCAGUUGGAGCCCCCGGCUCCCUACCUGCCAGGGAGUUGCUUCAGAGGCAGUGAAGCAGGUCUGUAGGUAUCUAUCUUUCUCUCCCCCUCUCUGUCUUUCCCUCCUCUCUCCAUUUCUCUCUGUCCUAUCCAACAAUGAUGACAUCAAUAACAACAACAAUAAUAACUAUAACAAUAAAACAACAAGGGCAACAAAAGGGAAUAAAUAAAUAAUAUAAUAAAAAUAAAGAGAAGGGAGAAAGAGAAAUAGCUGCAACACUGCUUAACUGCCCAUGAAGCUUUCUUCCUACAGGUGAGGACAGGGCACUUGAGCCCUUGUGCAUGGUAACCUCUACACUCUACCAGAUACACUACUAUCCUAACCCUUAAAUAAAUACAUCUUUUAAAAUG